CCUCCCCCCUCACGAGCGUGCUUAAUUGGAGGUCGUCUGCCCGAUGGUCGUUGGCAUGGUUAUGGUUCGAGGAAGAAUAAGUAUCGUGGUACUGCUUGCUAGAGUUUGAAACUAACACCAGCAAUGAGUUUCAUCCCUCAGCUCUCACCCUCCAACACCUGAAGGUUAAACAAUGAAGUUUUAAUCGGAUUUGCUAGGAGUUUUUGAGGAACUUGGUAGUGAUUCUGUGAAGAUUUCCCUUGUGAAGAGGUCAGUCUCAGGUGUCCGUGGUGAUGUAUCUGACUAUCAUCCAAAUACAACUGGCAAAUCGAGAGCUACAUGGAGCUUGAAUUCGACACAGUGAAGAUCAUGCAUUUGAUUACAGAUACAUCAUCGUAAUCUCCCCACCACAACAACUUUGCUGAAGAUCCCUUCCCUGACGUGAUGAAAAGGGUGGCAGUUGGGGCCGUGUGCUCAAAUUUGAAAACGGCAUCAGACAAUUGAGCCUGUGCUUGAUCAAGCAUAGAGAAAGCAAUGCAGAGUAGGGAUCAUUUCUAGCUCAAGUUCAGUGCAAUUUCAAAUUAGAUGAUUCUAACUCUACCGCAUCUCCAUGCAUAUGAACUGUUGAGAAUGACCAACUACUAAUUCAGGUUUCGUCCUAGCCUCCUAGGAUGGAGUACAGGGAGAGUAAAGGCAAAAGGAAAAGUGCAUUCUUUUGCUCGUGUCAGUGCGCGUAUUGUGUUGUUUGUUUCACCUUUCUUGAAAGGAAGAGAAGUGCUAAUGAAUUUUGCAUGUACACCUCAUAUGAGAAAUUGUUGAUGGCAUAGAGCAUGGUAUGCCACUGAUUACUUGCGUGUCAUACUCUCAAAGUUCAGAAAAGAUUAAGGACAUAGACUCUAAUA